UACGGGGGGGGCAAGCGUUGUUCGGAAUUACUGGGCGUAAAGAGUUCGUAGGCGGUGCGGCAAGUUCGGUGUGAAAUCUCCCGGCUCAACUGGGAGGGUGCGCUAAAUACUGCCGUGCUCGAGUAUAGGAGAGGUAAGCGGAAUUCCUGGUGUAGCGGUGAAAUGCGUAGAUAUCAGGAGGAACACCUGUGGUGUAGACGGCUUACUGGACUAUAACUGACGCUGAGGAACGAAAGCGUGGGUAGCAAACAGG
rnacentral:rRNA from 1 species